rnacentral:lncRNA from 1 species
CCUUGCAGGAAUCCAAACCUAGAAAGCAGAAGGAAAGCACAUUUUAAAAAAUGAGGGUACAGGGUCACCCCACAAACAGUUAAUUUUCAUUGAAAACUUUUGGUUGAUUCCUUGUAGAAGCAAGUAAACUUAGAACCCAAUAUUCAUAUCAAUGGCUCCAUGCAAAAACAUCCUUGAAUUCUUUAGACAUUUUGGCCCAGUCUGAUUGUAAUUGUUCUCAACUUUAUUUUUAAUGCAUUUGAGUCAUUUUGAUUUUAGUGUUUAUUCCAAAAACACAUUUUAUGAUAAGUGUUUACCUAUCUGGUCUUGAGAUUCUUCUGGCAUGCAAUUAACAAUGCCAGUAGCCUGUUUGAACUUAUUCCAUAUUUUGUGGUCUGUUCUCAAUCUUCACGUUUACUACUGCUAAUUGUAAAACUAAAAUAGCUUCAUUUGAGAAAAUCUAGAAGGACUAGGGUAAGCAUGCACCCUCAAAUGUCUCAUGGUUCCAUGCCAUGGGUCUCCGUGGCAUCAGCUUGGCUGCCUUGGUUACUUAUCAUCUGGCCUGUGGUCAUUGUUAACCUCAGUCGUUUCACAGUAUUGUUGAGGUUGAAGUCUUACAAUGUGAUUUAUGGCCAGGAUGAUGAUAAUGGGGAAAUAAUUGCUAGUUUGAAAGCAAGACCUCAGUGGUUUUGCGUUAUGACUAGGCACUAUAAUCUCAAGACUUGUUAAAUUGAUGUAUUCAUUCACUAAUUCAUUAAAUAAGUGCUUCAUCAAACCCUUACUUACCACUGUAUUUCAGUACC